rnacentral:lncRNA from 1 species
AUGCUCCUUACAACUUCCAUGCAUUGGAUCUAUGAACGGAAAGGGAUAAUGAUCCUUCCUGAUUGUGUCGUUGAGCUUACUAAAGUCAAUGUAAACUCUCCCACCAGCUUGGAUUCGAUUGGGCACCUGAACCAAAGAAGGUAACAACUUAUUAGUUGAAAUAGGAAUUGGAAUUGGAAUAGGUGGCUCACCAAUAUACUGCGAUGAACACUCAAAAGUAGCAGCACAAUCAACAAAUUCACU